CCCUGGACAGUGUUCUUACUGUUGAUCAUCCAACAACAGAAUAGGAGCAGGAGGUAGAAGCUACAAUUCUGAUAAAGCCUGAGCAUUUAACGAGAAAGGGGGAGGAGUUGAUGCAAACAUUGCUGCUUCUUCUGUUACAUGACUGAGAGACUUAAAGACCUGCAACAGAUCAGAGAAAAACAGAUUUCAGAUUCAUCAGAAACACAUGGCUGCUACAAUGAUCAGACCUCAUCAGGUUUUGAUUGCUUUUCUCCUCGGGACAGUUAACUGGACAGGUACUGAUGGUCAAACACUGACUGAGUCUGAACCAGUGGUUAAAAGACCUGGAGAAUCUCACAGACUGACCUGCACAUAUUCUGGGUUUAGUAGCACUCCUGCUGUAGCUUGGAUCAGACAGGCAGCUGGGAAAGGACUGGAAUGGAUUGCUUAUGUCAACUAUGACAGGAGCUACCGGUACAUCUACUAUUCUGACUCAGUCAGAAACCGUUUCACCAUCUCCAGAGAAAACAGCAGAAAUCAGGUUUAUCUGCAGAUGAACAGUCUGACAGCUGGAGAUUCUGCUGUUUAUUACUGUGCUCGACCGACACAGUGACACAGAAAGCAGGAACGCUGAACAAAAACUCCUCAGUACAUCAAUAGUUUUAAGAA